ensembl:snoRNA SNORA71 Small nucleolar RNA SNORA71
CCCUGUAUCGAAAGUGACUAUGGCAUUGAUUUAAGUGGCCAGGUCAUUGAUAGUACAGGAAAAGUGAAUUGAGGGGCUUUCCCGUGUUCGAUGGGUCCUAAGUCCCUACCGAACCCUGGUUCUCUCAGAUA